CCUAGAACUUCAGCCACAGGUAUAACACUACAACUUCCUGGAUAGCUGAUAAAAAGGAAAAGAAAGAAAAAAGAAGCCAAAGCUGCAACAGAUUUGGACCCAAUCACCAGAGACUGUCCAUUGACUCUGGGCUUCUGACUGGUGAGAGUCCUCCACAUCUUGGCCAAGGUAUAUUGUUCUCAACAUCUUCAUUCUAUUCUAGUUCUUCACUGUCCUUUUCACCUCUGGUUUCAGUAAUCAAAUCAACAUUACUAUUCCUGUA
rnacentral:lncRNA from 1 species